CCUACGGGUGGCAGCAGUAGGGAAUAUUGCUCAAUGGGCGAAACCCUGAACCAGCAACGCCGCGUGGGGGAUGACGGUUUUCUGAUUGUUAACUCCUUUUGUUAGAGAAGAUAAUGACGGUAUCUAACGAAUAAGCACCGGCUAACUCCGUACCAGCAGCCGCGGGAAUACGGAAGGUGCCAGCGUUACUCGGAAUCACUGGGCGUAAAGAGGGCGUAGGCGGGAUAGCAAGUCAGAUGUGAAAUUCUAUGGCUUAACCAUAGAAGUGCAUUUGAAACUGGUAUUCUAGAGUGUGCGAGAGGUAGGUGGAAUUCGUGGUGUAGGGGUAAAAUGCGUAGAGAUCAAGAGGAAUACCCAUUGCGAAGGCGACCUGCCGGAGCACAACUGACGCUGAUGCACGAAAGCGUGGGUAGCGAACAGGAUUAGAUACCCUAGUAGUC
rnacentral:rRNA from 1 species